rnacentral:tRNA from 1 species
GCAUUGGUGGUUCAGUGGCAGACUUCUCACCUUCAUGUGAGAGACCAGGGUUCAAUUCCCGGCCAGUGCA